AUCCCUUUGUAGUUCAUAAGCAUGAUGACUGGGUGCUCACGUACAUGCGUGAAACGUGCCUCCCUUAAACUGUGUCAUGCGUUGGCUUACCAGCGUGAUG
ensembl:snoRNA